CGAUAGCUCAGUUGGUAGAGCGGGGGACUGUAGAUUUAUAAUUGUGAUCCCUAGGUCGCUGUUUCGAAUCCGGCUCG
rnacentral:tRNA from 1 species